UACGGGGGGGGCAAGCGUUGUUCGGAAUUACUGGGCGUAAAGCGUGCGCAGGCGGUGAUGUAAGACAGGUGUGAAAUCCCCGGGCUUAACCUGGGAACUGCAUUUGUGACUGCAUCGCUGGAGUGCGGCAGAGGGGGAUGGAAUUCCGCGUGUAGCAGUGAAAUGCGUAGAGAUGUGGAGGAACACCGAUGGCGAAGGCAGCCCCCUGGGCUAACACUGACGCUCAUGCACGAAAGCGUGGGGAGCAAACAGG
rnacentral:rRNA from 1 species